rfam:Salmo salar isolate Sally breed double haploid chromosome ssa04, whole genome shotgun sequence.
UGUAUUCAUGACUGUAAGUUGCUCUGGAUAAGAGUGUCUGCUAAAUGACUAAAA